UGGCGGCAGCGGCGGCGGCAGCUCGGGCGGAGGCCUCAAGUCCUCCUCCGGGUCCACUGGAGAGUCCUCAUCUAAGGGACCAAGAUACUAACAAAGCCAGAGUAAUCAAGACAAUUAUUGAAGAAGUGGCACCAGAUGGUAGAGUCCUUUCAUCUAUGGUUGAAUCAGAAACCAAGAAACACUACUAUUAAGCCGCAUCAAGAGUAAAGUCUCUCUUCUACAGGCCAUUUAAUACAGAUACAUGAAAAACAAAAUCUUCAAGAUAAUACCUAAGUCUUAAUGGUCUAUGGAAAUAGUUUCACUCCUUGAAAAUAAGGUGUCUACAAGCUGUUUUGUGGUUUCUGUAUUUCUUUUCACUUUACCAGAAAGUGUUCUUUAAUGGGGGGGAAAAAAAAAAACUUUCUAUUCUCAUUUACUAAUGAAUUUCAAUAAACUUUCUUACUGAUGCAAACUGUC